AUACGUAGGGGGCGAGCGUUGUCCGGAAUUACUGGGCGUAAAGGGUGCGUAGGUGGCACUUUAAGUUGGAUGUGAAAUCCCCGUGCUUAACAUGGGAGCUGCAUCCAAUACUGGAGAGCUAGAGUGCAGGAGAGGUAAGCGGAAUUCCUAGUGUAGCGGUGAAAUGCGUAGAUAUUAGGAGGAACACCAGUGGCGAAGGCGGCUUACUGGACUGUAACUGACACUGAGGCACAAAAGCGUGGGGAGCAAACAGGAUUAGAUACCCUGGUAGUCCACGCUGUAAACGAUGAAUACUAGGUGUAGGGGGUAUCAACUCCCUCUGUGCCGCAGCAAACGCAAUAAGUAUUCCGCCUGGGGAGUACGGCCGCAAGGUUGAAACUCAAAUGAAUUGACGGGG
rnacentral:rRNA from 1 species